AACCCUACUCACACUCAGGGAAGACCACCUCCUUCCAUGUCCAGGCAUUGUCCCUCUGACAGAGAGCAAGAUCUCUUGGCUCUGAAAGAGAACAUCCGCCUCCUCCUCAGCAUGGAAGUAGCCUCAGAAGUGAUGUGACGACCCUUUCCCCUAAAAGAAUUUAGAGCCAAGCUCCUUGAGGGGAUGUGGUGAUGUGGUAGGCAGUUAGACAGACAUGAUCAGAGCAAGGAUGAUGGACCAACUGGAGGAGAAAUGGAUGGGAUUCUGUGAUGUGCUUCUCACCACUCCAAUUGCUCUGAAGCUGAAGACACAUCUAACCUGGCUGUCAUUGUAGGCGGCACCUGGGAGCUCACCUGGAAAUGCGGCCCAUCCUCCAUAUCCAGGAGCUGCCUAGUAUGGAAAGAUGAACAACCUUGUUGCUGAAAGCAGAGCCUCCAGCCCUUUGCAUAUUGCCAGUCUGCAUUAUCUGUAAACUGUCCACUUGGCAUACCCUUUUGGCUACUUCCCCAUGCAGUCUUUGUCCUUCUACCCCAUAUGAGUGUUAUGGGGCAACCUGCAAGAGACAACCACCAGAGACAUAGAUCAACAUUUAUGAGCCUUUAUUAAACUGGCCAGUGACUACAGUUGAUGCAUUCUACUGUGGUAAAGGCCGCACUGCAGUGCAGACCUUAGGUGUUACAGCAAAUUUAUACUCAGAAUCCACAAGAGGGAGUUAGGACAUUUACAAUGACAACCCAAAGGUUACAAAGGUUAUUUCAGCAACUCAGGGCACAGGUGCAACGCAUGGGCAUGCUUGGCCAGAGCUUGAACCCCCACCUCCCUCUAAACUCCAACCCACUGUUCAGUGACCUACUCUACCUCCCUCUGUCCCAAGGCAUCCUGCCUGCAGGCAGCAGAGCUGUGCAAUGUUUACAGCCCAGAACAUAAGCAGCAGGUGUAUGGUGGGGGGCAAAGCAGAUUUCCGUGGCUGACCUGCUGCUCCCCCAGGCAGGAUAGGAAUAAACGCUCAUACAU